rnacentral:rRNA from 1 species
UACGAAGGGGGCUAGCGUUGCUCGGAAUCACUGGGCGUAAAGGGUGCGUAGGCGGGUCUUUAAGUCAGGGGUGAAAUCCUGGAGCUCAACUCCAGAACUGCCUUUGAUACUGAGGAUCUUGAGUUCGGGAGAGGUGAGUGGAACUGCGAGUGUAGAGGUGAAAUUCGUAGAUAUUCGCAAGAACACCAGUGGCGAAGGCGGCUCACUGGCCCGAUACUGACGCUGAGGCACGAAAGCGUGGGGAGCAAACAGGAUUAGAUGACCCUGAGUACCGUAGAAGCAACCAAGUC